rnacentral:rRNA from 1 species
GGCGGACGGGUGAGUAACACGUGGGUAACCUGCCCUCAAGUGGGGGAUAACAUUUGGAAACAGAUGCUAAUACCGCAUAGAUCCAAGAACCGCAUGGUUCUUGGCUGAAAGAUGGCGUAAGCUAUCGCUUUUGGAUGGACCCGCGGCGUAUUAGCUAGUUGGUGAGGUAAUGGCUCACCAAGGCGAUGAUACGUAGCCGAACUGAGAGGUUGAUCGGCCACAUUGGGACUGAGACACGGCCCAAACUCCUACGGGAGGCAGCAGUAGGGAAUCUUCCACAAUGGACGCAAGUCUGAUGGAGCAACGCCGCGUGAGUGAAGAAGGCUUUCGGGUCGUAAAACUCUGUUGUUGGAGAAGAAUGGUCGGCAGAGUAACUGUUGCCGGCGUGACGGUAUCCAACCAGAAAGCCACGGCUAACUACGUGCCAGCAGCCGCGGUAAUACGUAGGUGGCAAGCGUUAUCCGGAUUUAUUGGGCGUAAAGCGAGCGCAGGCGGUUUUUUAAGUCUGAUGUGAAAGCCCUCGGCUUAACCGAGGAAGCGCAUCGGAAACUGGGAAACUUGAGUGCAGAAGAGGACAGUGGAACUCCAUGUGUAGCGGUGAAAUGCGUAGAUAUAUGGAAGAACACCAGUGGCGAAGGCGGCUGUCUGGUCUGUAACUGACGCUGAGGCUCGAAAGCAUGGGUAGCGAACAGGAUUAGAUACCCUGGUAGUCCAUGCCGUAAACGAUGAAUGCUAGGUGUUGGAGGGUUUCC